rnacentral:rRNA from 1 species
GACGCUAGCGGCAGGCUUAAUACAUGCAAGUCGUGGGGCAGCACAGUGUAGCAAUACAUGGGUGGCGACCGGCAAACGGGUGCGGAACACGUACGCAACCUCCCUUCAAGUGGGGAAUAGCCCAGGGAAACUUGGAUUAAUACCCCGUAAUAUUUCGAGGUGGCAUCACCUUGAUCUUAUAGCUACGGCGCUUGAAGAUGGGCGUGCGACUGAUUAGGUAGUUGGCGGGGUAACGGCCCACCAAGCCUGCGAUCAGUAACUGGUGUGAGAGCACGACCAGUCACACGGGCACUGAGACACGGGCCCGACUCCUACGGGAGGCAGCAGUAAGGAAUAUUGGUCAAUGGACGCAAGUCUGAACCAGCCAUGCCGCGUGGAGGAUGAAGGUCCUCUGGAUUGUAAACUUCUUUUAUUUGGGAAGAAACCCACGGUUUCUACUGUGGUUGACGGUACCAGAUGAAUAAGCACCGGCUAACUCCGUGCCAGCAGCCGCGGUAAUACGGAGGGUGCAAGCGUUAUCCGGAUUCACUGGGUUUAAAGGGUGCGUAGGCGGGCAGGUAAGUCAGUGGUGAAAUCCCCGAGCUUAACUUGGGAACUGCCGUUGAUACUAUCUGUCUUGAAUGUUGUGGAGGUAAGCGGAAUAUGUCAUGUAGCGGUGAAAUGCUUAGAUAUGACAUAGAACACCUAUUGCGAAGGCAGCUUGCUACACAACCAUUGACGCUGAGGCACGAAAGCGUGGGGAUCAAACAGGAUUAGAUACCCUGGUAGUCCACGCCCUAAACGAUGGAUACUCGACAUCAGCGAUACACUGUUGGUGUCUGAGCGAAAGCAUUAAGUA